rnacentral:rRNA from 1 species
GACGAACGCUGGCGGCGUGCUUAACACAUGCAAGUCGAACGGAAAGGCCCCUUUGGGGGUACUCGAGUGGCGAACGGGUGAGUAACACGCGAGUAACCUGCCCUUGACUUCGGGAUAACUUCAGGAAACUGGGGCUAAUACCGGCUAGGAAUCCUUGCUGCAUGGUGGGGGUUGGAAAGCUUCGGCGGUUUUGGAUGGACUCGCGGCUUAUCAGCUUGUUGGUGGGGUAGUGGCUUACCAAGGCUUUGACGGGUAGCCGGCCUGAGAGGGCGACCGGCCACAUUGGGACUGGGAUACGGCCCAGACUCCUACGGGGGGCAGCAGGGGGGAAUAUUGCACAAAGGGCGGAAGCCUGAUGCAGCAACGCCGCGGGCGGGAUGACGGCCUUCGGGUUGUAAACCGCUUUCAGCAGGGGCGAAGCUUGUGGUGACGGUACCUGCAGAAGAAGCACCGGCUAACUACGUG